GGCUGUUUGUAAUAAGGGAGCAUAAGUAUAUUUCAUUUGUAAAACGUAAUUCUUUUGGUUCCUUUGACUUUUUCAACAUUUUUAUUUUAUUUCUAUCGGGAGUGUAUAAAUUCUUGCAAUGCCAAGCUAUGAAUUCCCCAAUUUAAAUUCAUUUAAUGUUUAGUAAAUUACAGUUGCCAUUUCAGCAAUGUUUAAAUUUCAAACAGACUAGACUGCCGUACAUUGUGUUAUUAGUCAAAUGGUUGGCGUCUCAGGAUUUCCUGUAUUUUCAUAUGUAAAUCUAAAAUUGUCGAGGACGAUUCCUACAUAAGAGUGUUAGUAAGCAUAGUUGGUAUAAGUUUUGUAAGUGACCUUCACACGUCGUGAUAGUAUAAAAGGUAUUGCUCCUAAUUCAUAUUUCAUUUUAAAGGCAUAUCCUGAAAGCUAAACAUCCAUAGUUUUAAAACAUGAAGACUAGGAGAUUGGUUGUUUUUCUAGUAGUUGUAUUUGCCUAUAUAAUCAUCGGGAUUACGGCGGAAAAGAAUGUAAUCGAUAGAAAUAGUCCCUUGCGCAAUAUUCUAAAACGGAAUCCCUACCUAAUCAAGCGGAAUCCCUACCCAAUCAAACCUUCUUUUGCAGUCAGAAGACAAGGUAUAUACAAUUCUGAUUCAAAGAAAAAGACGAGGAUGUGUAGAAGAAGAGGCGUGAAUUGUAGGUUUGUGGAAAAGAAGAAAGCUACAGUGUGAUUUUACAAUUUGACUACCACUGAGGUACAUCACUGUGUAUAUGCGGACUUUCUAACAAUUUACUGUGAAUGAAAAAUUGAUAACAAACGUUGAAAAACAAUUUUUCCAGACGUGGCCAAGUGAUGUUUAAAUACUUCCAAGGUAUUCAGAAUUUUUAUAACAAAUUUUGGUCUGAAAACCUAUCUUCAAUAUCUACCUAAGAAACUUAGCAGCAGCUUCCUGAAAUGUCUUAUCCCAAACCAUCGCCCCCAGUAGAGACAGGCCGAUAGUUUAGUAUACCAUAUAACGGAAGAUUAUGUGUUUUAUGUUAUGAAACAAACAGUUUCAGCUGUAUACCAUUUUGUGUUGGAGUGCAGUGCUUUUAUCGGUAUAAGAAAAAUUACCUACACAGAAAAUAUUGUACAAGACCAAAUGUAAUGAAAUGAAAGGUGUUAUAAAAUGUUAUAAAAUCAUGUCAACCAGUGAUGUUAAAAACCUUUAAAAAAACUAAACAUGUUUAUUCGAAAGAUACAUGUGUUCGCCUUAUCAUAAAACUUCACAUUUUUGAACAUAUUUAUGCAUAUAUUUACAUACAUAUAUACAUUCUUCUGAUGUUACUUGUAUUAAUACGUAAAAUUUGUAUAUUGUACCUCAAGUACCACUUUCAUUGUGGUUUGAGCAAAUGAAAAUAAAUGAAUGAUUACGUUUGUCAGAAUAUGUUAA